rnacentral:rRNA from 1 species
CUCCCGGCACGGGGAGGUAGUGACGAAAAAUAACGAUACGGGACUCAUCCGAGGCCCCGUAAUCGGAAUGAGUACACUUUAAAUCCUUUAACGAGGAUCCAUUGGAGGGCAAGUCUAGUGCCAGCAGCCGCGGUAAUUCUAGCUCCAAUAGCGUAUAUUAAAGUUGUUGCGGUUAAAAAGCUCGUAGUUGAAUCUGUGUGUCGCGCUGUCGGUUCACCGUUCGCCGGUGUUUAACUGACAUACCGCGACACGUCCUACCGGUGGACUUAGCCUACGACCAUCGUUCUCGAAAGAGGCGUUGGCACGGGGCGGUCCUGAUACAAUCCCAUCGCGGUGCUCUUUACCGAGUGUCGAGGUGGGCCGGUACGUUUACUUUGAACAAAUUAGAGUGCUUAAAGCAGGCUAUUUUUGCCUGAAUACUGUGUGCAUGGAAUAAUGGAAUAGGACCUCGGUUCUAUUUUGUUGGUUUUCGGAACACCGAGGUAAUGAUUAAUAGGGACAGAUGGGGGCAUUCGUAUUGCGACGUUAGAGGUGAAAUUCUUGGAUCGUCGCAAGACGGACAGAAGCGAAAGCAUUUGCCAAAAAUGUUUUCAUUAAUCAAGAACGAAAGUUAGAGGUUCGAAGGCGAUCAGAUACCGCCCUAGUUCUAACCAUAAACGAUGCCAGCUAGCGAUCCGCCGAAGUUCCUCCGAUGACUCGGCGGGCAGCUUCCGGGAAACCAAAGCUUUUGGGUUCCGGGGGAAGUAUGGUUGCAAAGCUGAAACUUAAAGGAAUUGACGGAAGGGCACCACCAGGAGUGGAGCCUGCGGCUUAAUUUGACUCAACACGGGAAACCUCACCAGGCCCGGACACCGGAAGGAUUGACAGAUUGAUAGCUCUUUCUUGAUUCGGUGGGUGGUGGUGCAUGGCCG